rnacentral:piRNA from 1 species
UGCGCAGAUUAUUUGUUUACCACUUAGAAC